rnacentral:rRNA from 1 species
CGGCAACAGCUCAAAUUUGAAAUCUGGCCCCUCGGGGUCCGAGUUGUAAUUUGUAGAGGAUGCUUUUGGUGAGGUGCCGCCCGAGUUCCCUGGAACGGGACGCCACAGAGGGUGAGAGCCCCGUCU